rnacentral:sRNA from 1 species
GGUAAACAAGCGAUCAAUUUGUAUUAAUUUGGUUUAUUAGUAUUCAGGUUGCGGCCACAUCUCUUUGAAGUUGCUAAAAAUAGUUUACAUUUACAAACUCGGAAAACGAUUUCUAAACACUGUUAAAAGAAUUAAGUUUGUGUUUGCAUCCAGCCCGCCAGCAUCACUCAUAGUACCAGUCAUGGAAUAAGCCCGUAGAAUCCCGGUACCGUGGACGAGCUGUUCAAUAAGCUGAACGAAACACAACCGAAUACCUUUGAUGCACGAAGAUGUUGAGCAAACCACGGAGCAACCACUUUCAGAUGUCGCACACUCUCCACA